CUCAAAUGUGUGAGGAGGUCUCCAUCAGUGAAGCUAUUCAAGAAGAGAGUAGAUGUCAACUGUUGAAAGUUAGAAGAACUACGUGUGAAGCCAGAGUUCUUCAGGCAAGACCAAGCCAAGGGUUUUCUAGAACUAUACCACUGUAUUGUCUGUCAGCAAACUGCUUAUUACCCACAUACCCAGAGUAACGGAACUUGCGCCUGAAUGUAUAUUGGCUACAUCACCAUACACACUGCUGAAGUCCAUUGACGCUUUUUGUGGCAAGACUUUCUAGAUGGAAGAAAUGCUGCAUUGAUUUACGAUCUAGUAAGCUCCUCAUUGUCGAGCACUGCGUUGAGUAGCUGCUCUAGAAUUUGGCCCAUCACUCUUCCUUCCUCCCUGUCUUGGCACUUGUCUUCUAUAACUGUUUACUGUCUGUCUCUGCAGCUAGGCUAUGCACUCCUUGUGCACAGGGAUUUGAGCUUAUGCACUGUGUUCCCUUGGUAUCAGUACCAUUCAGUUGGAAUUGGCA
rnacentral:lncRNA from 1 species